rnacentral:lncRNA from 1 species
CUCAACACAGCAUCCAAACGCUCUUUGAACACCUCCAGGGUCGGUGACUCCACCACCUCUCUGGGCAGCCCAUUGCAGUGCCUGACCACCCUUUCAGACAAGUAGUAUUUCCUAACGUGCAGCCUGAACCUUCCGUGGUGCAGCUUGAAGCCAUUCCCUCUAGUCCUAUCACUAGUCACCUGAGAGAAGAGGCUGACCCCCAGCUCACCACAGCCUCCCUUCGGGUAGUUACAGAGAGCAAUGAGGUCUCCCCUGAGCCUCCUCUUCUCUAGACUGAACAAUCCCAGCUCCUUCAAUUACAAUUCAUAAGGCCUGUGCUCCAGAGCCCUCACCAGCUUUGUUGCCCUCCUCUGGACGCGCUCCAGGGCCUUGAUGUCUUUCUUACCGUGAGGGGCCCAAAACUGGACAGGUACGGAUGUCACCAUGCCAGCCUGGGUUUGGUGAGGCCUGGAGUAUGAUCAAAAUUUUGGGAACGCAGUGACAGGUGCAGACACCUCUCGGAGUGUGAUUCCCAACCUCCUGUCUUAAUGCAAAUCUCAAGAACACGAGCCAUGUCACCAAACCACUGCUCACAGCUGUUUGCUGAACCUGACACAUUCUACUCCCCAGUCCUGCAGAUCCAUCACUUAUGGAGAAGGACAGAUGCAAGGGUGCGUUUGGGACUGCCUUCAUGCUCCCCGAUGUGCCCCAGAGAGCAAGGCAGGGAAGGCCACAAGACCACGAUGCCAAAGCAGACAGAAGACC